UGGUCAUGGGGGGGCACCUGAUGCAGCCAUGCCGCGUGUGUGAAGAAGGCCUUCGGGUUGUAAAGCACUUUCAGUUGUGAGGAAAAGUUAGUAGUUAAUACCUGCUAGCCGUGACGUUAACAACAGAAGAAGCACCGGCUAACUCCGUGCCAGCAGCCGCGGUAAUACGGAGGGUGCGAGCGUUAAUCGGAAUUACUGGGCGUAAAGCGCACGCAGGCGGUUUGUUAAGCUAGAUGUGAAAGCCCCGGGCUCAACCUGGGAUGGUCAUUUAGAACUGGCAGACUAGAGUCUUGGAGAGGGGAGUGGAAUUCCAGGUGUAGCGGUGAAAUGCGUAGAUAUCUGGAGGAACAUCAGUGGCGAAGGCGACUCCCUGGCCAAAGACUGACGCUCAUGUGCGAAAGUGUGGGUAGCGAACAGGAUUAGAUACCCUGGUAGUCCACACCGUAAACGCUGUCUACUAGCUGUGUGUGCCUUUAAGACGUGCGUAGCGAAGCUAACGCGCUAAGUAGACCGCCUGGGGAGUACGGCCGCAAGGUUAAAACUCAAAGGAAAUUGACGGA
rnacentral:rRNA from 1 species